GACGAAGGGGGCUAGCGUUGUUCGGAAUUACUGGGCGUAAAGCGCGUGUAGGCGGUUGUUCAAGUCGGGUGUGAAAGCCUUGAGCUCAACUCAAGAAAUGCACUCGGUACUGGAUGACUAGAGGACCGGAGAGGAUAGUGGAAUUCCCAGUGUAGUGGUGAAAUACGUAGAGAUUGGGAAGAACACCAGUGGCGAAGGCGGCUAUCUGGACGGUUUCUGACGCUAAGGUGCGAAAGCGUGGGGAGCAAACAGG
rnacentral:rRNA from 1 species